AGUGAACGCUGGCGGUAGGCCUAACACAUGCAAGUCGAACGGCAGCACAGUAAGAGCUUGCUCUUACGGGUGGCGAGUGGCGGACGGGUGAGGAAUACAUCGGAAUCUACUUUUUCGUGGGGGAUAACGUAGGGAAACUUACGCUAAUACCGCAUACGACCUACGGGUGAAAGCAGGGGAUCUUCGGACCUUGCGCGAUUGAAUGAGCCGAUGUCGGAUUAGCUAGUUGGCGGGGUAAAGGCCCACCAAGGCGACGAUCCGUAGCUGGUCUGAGAGGAUGAUCAGCCAAACUGGAACUGAGACACGGUCCAGACUCCUACGGGAGGCAGCAGUGGGGAAUAUUGGACAAUGGGCGCAAGCCUGAUCCAGCCAUACCGCGUGGGUGAAGAAGGCCUUCGGGUUGUAAAGACCUUUUGUUGGGAAAGAAAAGCAGCAGGUUAAUACCCCGCUGUUCUGACGGUACACAAAGAAUAAGCACCGGCUAACUUCGUG
rnacentral:rRNA from 1 species